GAAAACGACUCUCGGCAACGGAUAUCUCGGCUCUUGCAUCGAUGAAGAACGUAGCGAAAUGUGAUACUUGGUGUGAAUUGCAGAAUCCCGUGAACCAUUGAGUCUUUGAACGCAAGUUGCGCCCGAAGCCAUUUGGUUGAGGGCACGCCUGCCUGGGUGUCGUG
rnacentral:rRNA from 1 species